rnacentral:snRNA from 13 species
GUCCUUGCGCAGUGGCAAUAUCGCAAUCAAUGAAGUUGUACUGAGAUGCGAUUAUUGCUAGUUGAAACUGUCUUUGAAAAAGCUGUGGCUCACGCGUGACCCACGAAGCAAA